AAUGGUUAAUUUUGGUGCAUACCUGUAGUCCCAGGGACUUGGGAGGCUGACUUGAGUCCAUGAGUUCUGGGCUAUACUGCACUCUGCCAAUUGGGCAUCCACACUGAGUUUGACAUCAAUAUGGUGACCUUCCAGGAGCAAGGGACAACCAGCGGCCUAAGGAGGGGUGAACAGCUCAGGUCAGAAACUGAACAGGUCAAAACUCCUGUGCUGAUCAGUAGAGGUAUCACACCUGUAAAUAAACAGUCACUGUACUCCAGCCUGGACAACAUAGCAAGAUCCCGU
ensembl:misc_RNA Metazoa_SRP Metazoan signal recognition particle RNA